AACGAACGCUGGCGGCAUGCCUAACACAUGCAAGUCGAACGAUGCCUUCGGGCAUAGUGGCGCACGGGUGCGUAACGCGUGGGAAUCUGCCCUUGGCUUCGGAAUAACAGUUAGAAAUGACUGCUAAUACCGGAUGAUGUCUUCGGACCAAAGAUUUAUCGGCCAGGGAUGAGCCCGCGUAGGAUUAGGUAGUUGGUGGGGUAAAGGCCUACCAAGCCGACGAUCCUUAGCUGGUCUGAGAGGAUGAUCAGCCACACUGGGACUGAGACACGGCCCAGACUCCUACGGGAGGCAGCAGUGGGGAAUAUUGGACAAUGGGGGGAACCCUGAUCCAGCAAUGCCGCGUGAGUGAUGAAGGCCUUAGGGUUGUAAAGCUCUUUUACCAGGGAUGAUAAUGACAGUACCUGGAGAAUAAGCUCCGGCUAACUCCGUGCCAGCCGCCGCGGUAACAC
rnacentral:rRNA from 1 species